CCUUAAUAGCGGCUGCACCAUUAGGAUGUCCUGAUCCAACAUCGAGGUCGUAAACCCCCUCGUCGAUAGGGACUCUGGGAGAGGAUUGCGCUGUUAUCCCUAGGGUAACUCGGUCCGUUGAUCGGCGUUCGCCGGAUCAUUUUUGGUCAGAAAUUCUGGUGCUUAGAGUUGUGGCUCUUGGUUGUGGGGGCAGUGCCCCCAGUCCACAUGGGGGCUUUGUUUUCCCCCGCGGUCGCCCCAACCAAAGACAUAGGGGCUAGGGGUCACUGUGUUUUUACUUGUUAAUUCAAGGUUAUUUGACGUGAUCUGCCUGGUGUCUAAAGCUCCAUAGGGUCUUCUCGUCUUAUGUAUUUAUGUCCGCUUCUGCACGGG
rnacentral:rRNA from 1 species